rnacentral:snRNA from 1 species
GUCCCUUCGUGGACAUCCGAUAAAAUUGGAUAUUAGCAUGGCCCCUGCGCAAGGAUGACACGCACAAAUCAAGAAAUGGUCCAAGUUUUU